rnacentral:rRNA from 1 species
GAUGAACGCUGGCGGCGUGCCUAAUACAUGCAAGUCGAGCGAACGGACGAGAAGCUUGCUUCUCUGAUGUUAGCGGCGGACGGGUGAGUAACACGUGGAUAACCUACCUAUAAGACUGGGAUAACUUCGGGAAACCGGAGCUAAUACCGGAUAAUAUUUUGAACCGCAUGGUUCAAAAGUGAAAGACGGUCUUGCUGUCACUUAUAGAUGGAUCCGCGCUGCAUUAGCUAGUUGGUAAGGUAACGGCUUACCAAGGCAACGAUGCAUAGCCGACCUGAGAGGGUGAUCGGACACACUGGAACUGAGACACGGUCCAGACUCCUACGGGAGGCAGCAGUAGGGAAUCUUCCGCAAUGGGCGAAAGCCUGACGGAGCAACGCCGCGUGAGUGAUGAAGGUCUUCGGAUCGUAAAACUCUGUUAUUAGGGAAGAACAUAUGUGUAAGUAACUGUGCACAUCUUGACGGUACCUAAUCAGAAAGCCACGGCUAACUACGU